ACGGGUGAGUAACACGUGAGUAACCUGCCCCUUACUUUUCUGGAUAACUGCUCGAAAGGGUAGCUAAUACGGGAUAUUCUGACCAUCCUGCAUGGGUUGGUUUGGAAAGGUUUUUUCUGGUAAGGGAUGGGCUCGCGGCCUAUCAGCUUGUUGGUGGGGUGAUGGCCUACCAAGGCUUUGACGGGUAGCCGGCCUGAGAGGGUGGACGGUCACACUGGGACUGAGAUACGGCCCAGACUCCUACGGGAGGCAGCAGUGGGGAAUAUUGCACAAUGGGCGCAAGCCUGAUGCAGCGACGCCGCGUGAGGGAUGAAGGCCUUCGGGUUGUAAACCUCUUUCGUCAGGGAACAAGGCACUACUUUUGGUGGUGUUGAGGGUACCUGGAUAAGAAGCGCCGGCUAACUACGUGCCAGCAGCCGCGGUAAUACGUAGGGCGCAAGCGUUGUCCGGAAUUAUUGGGCGUAAAGAGCUCGUAGGCGGCUGGUCGCGUCUGUCGUGAAAACUUCCGGCUCAACCGGGGGCUUGCGGUGGGUACGGGCCGGCUAGAGUGCGGUAGGGGUAACUGGAACUCCUGGUGUAGCGGUGGAAUGCGCAGAUAUCAGGAAGAACACCGAUGGCGAAGGCAGGUUACUGGGCCGUUACUGACGCUG
rnacentral:rRNA from 1 species